ensembl:lncRNA
CAGAUAAGCCUGGGCAGGAUGGAGACAGGAAGCGCUUGGCGUCGACCCGAAGAAGAUGUUCUGUUUUAAACUAUGUUAAAAGUCAUUGUGGUUUAGGCUGACGUAUGCUGUAUUAAAUCUGCCUGACAAAAGGAAGACUGCCAACCCUAUAAAACCUUUGUCUAAUUGUUGUAAGUUCAGUUCGACGCUGAAAUCUGCACAGCGUUGGACUCACACAUGUGUUCAUUAAAAUGCCGUCAAAUUGCACACCGGACCGGAUCUGUGGUUAUUUUUAGAUUCCUCUCUCAACAUUGAACCCUAACAGUACAGACAAGGAGCAAUAAAUCCUACAUGAUUGGUGUUUCAGUGAAUGAUGUCAGCUCAUACUUCUUGACUUCGUUUGAUAACCAUUUUCACACUACGUAUCUCACCCCACAGAUCUGCUGUGGUAGAAGAAGAAGAGCUGAAAUCAGUCAAGGAAAGGCUCAGAGAGAUGGAAGUGAAAUAUGACCAGACAAGAGCAGCUCUAAAUGACAAAGAUGAAGAACUAAAAUCAUUCAAAGACAGAGUGGCAAGAGAGGUCGCCCUUUCACUAAAGACGGGGAAAAACACAGAGAGCAUGAACAACCCAGUCAGUAAAACCAGGCUUAUACAGAUGUAUGAAGAGCUGAGGCUGGAGUGGCCAUAGGUCAAAAAACACCUGAAAUCCAAUAAUGGAAACUCUGAGUCAGUCAGAGUCGACAUUCAGGUUGAAGAGUUCAGACUGCUAACGGUACAGAACCUGCAGCUGGCCGUCUACCACACCAGGACACAGCCUGACCCAAAGGCGAAAGAUGAAACCCCUCAGAACGUGGUGGAGCAGUUUAACUCUGAAUGUUACUGGCUCGGCUGUUUGAUGGCUUUAAACGGUCCUCUUCACCCUGACUGGGACAAUCACGUUCCGGGGAUGGACGCUUGGGACAUUUUCCCACGAAAAACUGCGAAAACGUUCUGUCCAGGAUCACAAAUACUGCAUAACCUUAAUCUUCAUUCAUGUAUUAUGCUUAAUCCUUUAAAACCUGAACCAUGAAAUAACUGCCAGAAACAUUUAAUUUUUUUCAUAAUGCAGUGUUUGUUGAGCCUUUAGACAAAAUAUAUAACAAUACAUCAAAUUUUAAUCUGCAUAUAUAUGAUUUUUCAUUUGUACCACAUUUGCUACAUUAGCCAUAUUUUUGCAAUUUAGUCAUUAAAAAUGCGUCAUGUAAUUUAUAUCAUUUUUUGAGGGUAAAAAAGUCCCACUGAUGAUGUAGAAGCCUCAAAAACACACGUGUCAAAUACGAUACUCUGGGCUUUAAAGGGCUAAUUAGAGUGAUUGGUUAGUUUUCAGUUUGACACUGAUUUCUAUCUGGAGUUGUGCUUCUUUGGUUUUUGUUGUUGUUAUAUUAUAAAGAUGAUGCGACACUCACCAAAAUCCUUUCCAGGAUAUCCCAAAGAUUCUCAGUCUGGUAAAGAUCUCGACUGCACGGCGUCCAUGUGGGAAAGUGCUCUCUUGUGUUCACUCUUUCACAGUUUGAGCCUCAGCAUCAUCUUGGAAUAUCCCCAUUCCAAAAAUCCCAGAAAGCAAAACAAAAAAAGUAGUCAGCUGACUUUUUCUUUUGGCACAAAGUGUUGUUGCUUAGCCUAGAGCUCCGAUCUAAGAGAAAGCUCAAUCCAUACUGCAGGGUGAGGUGGUGUCGAGGCCAUUUUAAACACAUGAAAAAAUGCAGAAUUGUGAGUUCUGAGUUCACGAGCUUUAAAAUGCAUACAAACGAAAGAGAGAAUGAAAUGUUUGCAUAGCAGAGAUCAUAUUUAGUGUAAACAGUUUUGUGUCUCUUCCGGUGCGUCCAGCUGUUCAUCCAGGUGAGCUGCAGGAAACUUCAGCCUGCAAAUCAUCAAAAACUGAUCCAUCCUGAGAUGAUCUCUAACCACUGACAGCAAGCUGAGCAGUUUCAGGGCCACUAAAUGAAACUGAAAUCUUGUCACGUUAACCAAAGCUUCAUCGUAUCCAUCCAUCUUUUGUGAACAAUAAAUGUAUUUAGAGGUUUCUGAUGUUCGUGUGUUUAAGUCGUGUAGCUGAAUAUAUGAUUAUUUUCUCUUUAAGCCAUUGAACGGUUGUGGAAGCGCUCAUUCUUAGACCAGUGAUUCAUCCAUCUAUUCUAUGCUGCGUAUCCUUGUCAGGGUCGUGGGGUUAGGGUUCGCCUAUCCCAGCUGCCAUAGGGUGAGAGGCAGGUCACGGGGCUAACACACAGAGACAGGCAACCAUUCACACCUGUGGGCCAUUUAGAUUCACCCACUAAUCCUAACCCCACUAACUGCAUGUCUGUGGACUGUGGGAGGAAGAACCCGGAGAGAACAUUAAAAAACUCCACACAGAAAGACCCGGCCAGGUGUUGGAAUCAAACUCACGACCUUCUUGCUAAUCACCGUGCACUAUGCUGCCAUGAAUCAGUCAUUCAUGAUUUAAAAUUAUUAAUGCUCUUUGUUCAGGUUGGAGUGAUGAAAUAAUAAUGAAAAACAAAGAAAAGUAAACUAAUAUGACAGUAACUCCGUCACACAGUGCUCUGUAACGACUGGAUCAUACAUUAAUGUCACAGAAACAAAAGUAAAAAUCAGACUGUGUAUUUGUAAAGUCGUGUUUUACUUUUACUUUACAUCAGUGAAUGCAGAUAAAGUUCAUCAAUGAAUGAAAGGAAGUUUCAUUUUUAUUGGCAUGUGGGUUUGUUGCAGUACUCCUGAGCGCCUUUAGAGAGCGCUGUUG